ensembl:lncRNA
GGAAGAACGAGACACACCCGGGAUCAAAUUAACACAAUCAAUGGGAGACAAAAACUGGGUCACAGGAAAAACACACAUUGCAAAAAUCUCAGUGAAAGUAUCUAUGGUGGAUGAAGAGAAAUAGCUAGAAAUAGAGUCUACAGUGGCGGUUUCUCCAUUAGGGCGAUUGGGCGAUGCACCACCAAAGCGCGAAAAAGCAGAAGAGGCACCUUCAGCACCAUGGAGAGCACCCCACUCUCAGGCUCUGCCAUUAUUGAUGGUACUGGAAGGCAGCUCUAACUGGAGGUGAUCAGGACCAUGGAGAGUUCCCUGUUAAGACAGAGAGUGAGUCAGUCCCUCUUCCGGACGUCUGAUGAAUGGGUUUUAUCACUGGGUGGUGAAGAGACGUCAUUAUGACUGUGAAGGUCCUGUGAGAGCUUUUGGCCUGAGCUCAAAGUGUCUGGGUUAAAGUAGGACCAUCAGAAGUGCUUACGACCUGGAGCAGAUGGGAACAGUCACAGCGAGCCACCGCAGCUAAAUAAGACAUUACAGCACAUCCGCCAGAUCAUCAUCUGCAUCACAGCAGUUUCGUCACCUGAUGUGACUCAUAGCUACAUUGAAGGUGCUUCUCUCUGACUGCUGUGGCAUAUGGCUUUUCAGUC